rnacentral:lncRNA from 1 species
UUGUGCAGCUCUAGCACAAUGUGGAGCUGCAGCUUUUCCCAGGAUGAGGUAUCACAGCAUGGACCCAUGAAUUGUUCAGAAUUGCAAGCUGACUGUGCCUUUUGAAGUAAAUCUUUGCUUCUGCCAUGAUGAUGUUUCAUCAUUUAAAUUGCCAGAAACAGCCAGGACACAUGGCAGUGUCCUUUAGCUCCUUUAGGAGGUCCAACCUCCUUUCCAUCAUUCACCUUUACUUUCUUGCCUUCGUCGUGGUGGUUUAGUGUUUUCUGCUUCCAAUCCAUGCCAGUUUUUAGAAAAAAGUAGCUAAAGUGUCUUUGGGACACCCCCUUUCCUGCAGCCCUUGGGACCAGGCAGGCACAUGGAUCAUCUUUUCUUGGGGAAGAACCUGUCCUCUUCACCACUGAGGGAGAACCGUGUAAGCUGAGGGGGUGAAGCAGAUCACACGCUUCUCUCUGUUUAAAAACAGGAAUGUACAGGAAUUCCCAUGCUAUUUUAUUAACAGAUAAAAGCUGGUAUUAUCACUUGUCAUGAGAAAAAAGGAGGAGGACUGGAACCUGAUCUCCUGGGAAACACAAAAUGAGAACCUGCAUCAUGUGGGCUGUUAGGUGGAUCCAAUAGACUAAGUUUAUUUCCUUGUUUAUGAAUUUCAAGGGAUAGAUAAAUAAACCCCCUAAUGAGAUCCCUGCUGAAGGGCAGCUGUUUUCAGCUCUUUAAGAGUUACUGAUUUCAGCCUUAAGUUUUAUUGAAGCUUCUCUUAAAGCAGAGAUUGCUGCUUCUGCAAGUGCUACAGAAACUUGCCUCAAGGCAGGUGCUCUCUCUUCCAGUCCUCAGCAACUGCUGCAGCACCCUCACCUGAAAUGGGAAAGGACAAAAUUUGUCUGGCUGCAGAACAUCCAUCCACAAGUAAGGGAGUUUUAAUAAUCACUGAGUGCCAUCCAUCAACUCAGAAGUUCCCACUUUCAGUUCACCUGUGCUGCUGUCUGCUGUGGAGAUGUUUUUCCUGAAGCCCUGCUGCU